AGCCCCCAAGGCUGUGGGUAUGAGGCCGGGGCCCUGCACCGGAAGGGAGGGCGGAAGCCACGGGACGUGGAGCAGAUGGUGAGGAUAGUGGGGAGGUAGCAGCAGAGGAUGACCCGAGGCAAAAGUGCAAGUGAAGAAAAGUCGCCUUGCCGGGCAGAGGUACGGGACCAAGGCGCCUCCUCUGGGCUGAGGAGUUAGAGGGAAGAAAAUGGCGCCCUGUCAUGAGGGCGCGAGGUCCGAGUUGAGGGGAGAAGACUGAGGGACACAGAAGUGGCCGAAGUGAGGGCGCUGAGGUCAGCCUGAGCUGAGAGGGCCGGCAGAUCACGCCGCAGCCGAAGUGAACGAACUCGAGUGAGCUCUUCUCUUUUUCAGGAAAUUACUCCAGGAUUUGAAUCAUCACAAGAGAUUCACCAGAGGAUUUUAUACACUUGGGCUGUGGCAGCAGACUAAUUACAUCACAGCACUAGGCUAAAGAAGAAAAAUCACAUGAUCAUAUCAAUAGAUGCAGAAAAAGCAUCUGACAAAAACCAGCUCUCAUUCAUGAUCAGAACUCUCAGCAAACUAGUAAUAGAGGGGAACUUACUCAACUUGAUAAAGAACAUAUGCAAAAAUCUUUCAGCUAACAUCGUACUUAAUGGUAAGAAAUUGAAGCUUUCCCACUAAGAUCAGGAGCAAGGCAAGGACGUCUCCUUUGACCAACCCUUUUCAACAUCAUAUUUAUUGGAAGUCCUAGCUAAUGCAAUAAGACAAGAAAAAGAAGUAAAAAGUAUACAGAUUGGGAAGAAGAAAAUAGAACUGCCUUUGUUUGCAGAUGACAUGAUUAUCUAUGUAGAAAAUCUGAAAGAAUUGACCAAAAAAACCCUCCUGGAGCUAAUAAGCAAUGAUAACAAGGUGGCAAAAAUAGGUUGAUAUACAAAAGUUAAUUGCUUUCCUAUAUGCCAGCAACAAACAAAUGAGAUUUGAAAUUAAAACCAAAAUCCCAUUUACAAUAAUACCCCCAACUUAAAUACUUAGGCAUAAAACUAACAAAAAUAUGUAAGACCUUUAUAAGGGAAGUUAUAAAACUCUGAUGAACAUAUAAAAAGCUAAAUAAAGGAGAGAGAUUCCAUGUUUAUGGAUAGGAAGACUCAAUAUUACCAAGACAUCACUUCUUCCCAACUUGAUGUAUAGAUCCAAGGCAGACCAAACCAAAAUCCCAGAAAAUAAUUUCCUGGAUAUUAACAGAAUCUUUUUUUUUUUUUUUUUUUUUCCUGAAACGGAGUCUCACUGUG
rnacentral:lncRNA from 1 species